GGAUGUGAGGGAUAUCUAGUUGUGACAUUAGUCACCCCAUUGAUCACCAGGGUUGAUUCAGCUGGCCUGACUGGUUAGGCCAGUAUCCCCUUCCUCCCUCACUGCUCCAUGUGUGUCCCUCCUGACACUGUGCUUGAUCAAAGAGAAUGACUUUCCCUGACUAGAGACAGACCGGUCGAGGGUAUACGAGUAGCUACAAUCCCCAAACAAGCUGUCAAGGAAUUUCCAUUUUGUGUAAUUAGCCUAGCAAAAUUUUUUCCUUCAUGACUAUAUAUAUGAAAAUUAUAUAUAUAUAAUUUU
rnacentral:snRNA from 1 species